rnacentral:lncRNA from 1 species
CUCUAUUGGGUGUGAUGAUUCAGGAGUUUAAAAGGGCUAAUGGUUUUGGGAUUGGGAAUGUGAUCAAGCAGUGUACAUUUUAUAGAUUGUAUGAAAAGAUCUUUGAUGGGUUGUAUGAGAAGGUUGAUCAGUGCAAUGGUGAGAGAGAAAAACAAGCAAACUCCAGCCCUUAUGAGCCACCCGAGCUGAGUGGAGAGAAACCUAACCCAGAGUGUAAGAAAGACCUUACAAAGUGUGUUAAAGAUGGAGUGUUCAUUGAGAUACCACCAAAAGUUCCAAAGAAAGUCAUUUGGGUUGAAAAACCCAAUCACCUCAGAAACAAGCUUGACACACUCCCUGAUAUGCCUUUGAAGAAACCUCCACCAAAA